UGGACUUUGGAGUCGUCGGAAAAGUCUAGCUGGUCGCCGGAGAAAUAUGUUCUCCGGAGAAGUCUGAUCGAGUCAACCAAUUGGAGUUGCACUCACAUUCUAAGAGUGCAAAUUUGGAAAGAAAACCCUAAAUCAGCCUUUAUCUUUUAAAACCCUAAGUUUUUUUUUUUUAAAAUACAAAAGGCGAUGCCUUUCUCGCCAUGGUGUUGCCUUUUUGAAGAUGACAUCGCCACAAAGCUAAUAGGCAAUGAGGGUCACCUUGCCUUUCACAACAUGACCAGUGUUGUGAAAGGCAAUCACCUCGUCGCCAAUAGUGAGAGGCGAGGCGAGGCGAACCUUCAUCGCCGAUUAGCUUCGUGAGGAUGUCAUCUUUAAAAUGCAACGCCAUGGUGACAAAUAGCGAGAAAAGCAUUGUCUUUCGUAUUUUUUUUUUAAAUUAAGGUUUUAAAAGAUAAAAGAUUAAUUUAGGAUUUUCUUUUCAAAUUUACACACUUGCACUCUUAGACUGUGAUUGCGACUCUAACCAAUCGCCCCGACCAGAAUUCUUCGGAGACCAAAUUUCUCCAUCAACCGGUCAGAACUUUUCUAACGAAUCCAGAGUCCAACCAAUACCUAUUUCUUCUUUACUUUUUCAAAUUUCUUCUUCCCUUUUUCCCUUCUUCAAAGGUAUUUCUUCCUCUAUUAUUUUUCUCACUACUUUGACUUUUACUCUAUUUUUUCUCACGAUUUCUGAAUCCUAUUUGCUUAAACAAUAGACUUAAAGUUUUAAACUUUUCUCUAAUUUAGUUAUAUUAUGUACUAAUUAAAAUAUUUGCUAAUAUGUUGUUAUUAUUAAAAUUUUUAUUAUUUUAUAUGCAAUUAAAUAUUUAAAUUUUUUGGUAUUAAUUGGCACCGCACAUCAAAAAGCUGAGUGCCUCGCCUUGUGGCGA
rnacentral:lncRNA from 1 species